rnacentral:rRNA from 1 species
UCAGACGAUGCGUCAUGCAUAUCAAUAAGCGGAGGAAAAGAAACUAACAAGGAUUCCCCUAGUAACGGCGAGUGAAGCGGGAAGAGCUCAAAUUUGAAAUCUUAAAGGGUUUCCCUUUACGAAUUGUAGUUUAAAGAAGUGUUUUCUGUUGAGGUUUUGGUAAAAGUUCUUUGGAAUAGGACAUCAUAGAGGGUGAGAAUCCCGUAUUUGACCUUUACUUUCAACUUUGUGAUACACUUUCAAAGAGUCGGAUUGUUUGGGAAUGCAGUCCAAAAUGGGUGGUAAAUUUCAUCUAAAGCUAAAUAUUGGCGAGAGACCGAUAGCGAACAAGUACCGUGAGGGAAAGAUGAAAAGAACUUUGAAAGGAGAGUUAAACAGUACGUGAAAUUGUCAAAAGGGAAGCGUUUGACACCAGUGUUGUUUUUCUGAAAAUCAAUUAAAGAACUGUUUAUGCUAAGCUGUUUAGACUUUAUCAGCUAUCUGUUUAGUUUUGAGCUUUUCUUUAAUGCACUUUUCAGUUAACAAGUCAACAUCAAUUUCUUUUGCUGUAAAAAAGCUUGAGGAAGGUGGCUUGAGAUUCGUCUUAAGUGUUUAUAGCCUCUUGCCUAUGCAGUCGGAGAGAUUGAGGUCUGCAGCGUAGAUCCUUCGGGGCUAAAUGCAUUUGUGCUAAGUUAUAGCAUUUUAUAGACAACUUGUUGACUAUGAUUUGUCUCGUAGCUUACUCGCUUAUGUUAUUUUACCUACGCUUAGGAUGUUGACACACGCGCGUGCUCG